UUUAAGUGUAACCAUAAGUUUCUGUUGACCAUCUGUCUUAUUUGAAAAAAUUUUAUAAUUAGUAUUUUUAUUGUUACGAGAUGAUAAAACAUGAAUAAUACUUUAUACAUGACUUAUAUUUUUAAUUAUUUUAAAAAAAAAUUCAAAUAAGAUGAACGGUCAAAAUUGUGUACGAAAAAUUAUGUCUGCACUUAGA
rfam:Oryza sativa Japonica Group DNA, chromosome 3, cultivar: Nipponbare, complete sequence.